GAUGAACGCUAGCGGGAGGCCUAACACAUGCAAGCCGAGCGGUAUUGUUUCUUCGGAAAUGAGAGAGCGGCGUACGGGUGCGGAACACGUGUGCAACCUGCCUUUAUCUGGGGGAUAAACUUUCGAAAGGAAGAUUAAUACUCCAUAACAUAUUGAACAGCAUCGUUUAAUAUUGAAAGCUCAGGCGGGUAAAUAUGGGCACGCGCAAGAUUAGCUAGUUGGUGAGGUAACGGCUAACCAAGGCGAUGAUCUUUAGGGGGCCUGAGAGGGUGAUCCCCCACACUGGUACUGAGACACGGACCAGACUCCUACGGGAGGCAGCAGUGAGGAAUAUUGGUCAAUGGGUGCAAGCCUGAACCAGCCAUGCCGCGUGAAGGACGACUGCCCUAUGGGUUGUAAACUUCUUUUGUAUAGGGAUAAACCUACCCUCGUGAGGGUAGCUGAAGGUACUAUACGAAUAAGCACCGGCUAACUCCGUGCCAGCAGCCGCCGUAACAC
rnacentral:rRNA from 1 species